GUGCCCCGCUGGAGCGGCGGGGAUAAUAGGGAAUCGGGUGAAAAUCCCGAACGAUCCGGUCACUGUGAACGGGGAGUCUUCCGCAGAUAGCCAUUGUCCAUAGGACGAGAAGGCGCGGCAGGCGGCGAUCCGCAAGUCAGGAAACCUGCUCAGGGG
rnacentral:ncRNA from 1 species